rnacentral:rRNA from 1 species
UCAUUAGAUACCCGGGUAGUCCACACUGUAAACGAUGAUAGCUAGGUGUGGGGGGUCUGACCCCUUCCGUGCCGGAGUUAACGCAAUAAGCUAUCCACCUGGGGAGUACGGCCGCAAGGUUGAAACUCAAAGGAAUUGACGGGGGCCCGCACAAGCAGUGGAUUAUGUGGUUUAAUUCGAGCCGGUAACUGGGGUGAAGUCGUAACAAGGUAGC